rnacentral:rRNA from 1 species
GAUGAACGCUGGCGGCGUGCCUAAUACAUGCAAGUCGAGCGAACGGACGAGAAGCUUGCUUCUCUGAUGUUAGCGGCGGACGGGUGAGUAACACGUGGAUAACCUACCUAUAAGACUGGGAUAACUUCGGGAAACCGGAGCUAAUACCGGAUGAUAUUUUGAACCGCAUGGUUCAAAAGUGAAAGACGGUCUUGCUGUCACUUAUAGAUGGAUCCGCGCUGCAUUAGCUAGUUGGUAAGGUAACGGCUUACCAAAGCAACGAUGCAUAGCCGACCUGAGAGGGUGAUCGGCCACACUGGAACUGAGACACGGUCCAGACUCCUACGGGAGGCAGCAGUAGGGAAUCUUCCGCAAUGGGCGAAAGCCUGACGGAGCAACGCCGCGUGAGUGAUGAAGGUCUUCGGAUCGUAAAACUCUGUUAUUAGGGAAGAACAUAUGUGUAAGUAACUGUGCACAUCUUGACGGUACCUGAUCAGAAAGCCACGGCUAACUACGUG